UAAUACGUAGGAUGCAAGCGUUGUCCGGAUUUACUGGGCGUAAAGCGCGCGCAGGUGGCAUGGCAAGUAAGGUGUGAAAUCUCCCUGCUCAACGGGGAGGGAGCGCUUUAGACUGCCAAGCUAGAGGACGGUAGAGGGGGGUGGAAUUGCUGGUGUAGCGGUGAAAUGCGUAGAGAUCAGCAGGAACACCCGUGGCGAAGGCGGCCCCCUGGGCCGUACCUGACGCUGAGGCGCGAAGGCUAGGGGAGCGAACGGGA
rnacentral:rRNA from 1 species